rnacentral:rRNA from 1 species
GUAGGUGGCAAGCGUUGUCCGGAAUUAUUGGGCGUAAAGCGCGCGCAGGGCGGUCCUUUAAGUCUGAUGUGAAAGCCCACGGCUCAACCGUGGAGGGUCAUUGGAAACUGGGGGACUUGAGUACAGAAGAGGAAAGCGGAAUUCCAAGUGUAGCGGUGGAAUGCGUAGAGAUUUGGAGGAACACCAGUGGCGAAGGCGGCUUUCUGGUCUGUAACUGACGCUGAGGCGCGAAAGCGUGGGGAGCAAACAGGAUUAGAUACCCUGGUAGUCCACGCCGUAAACGAUGAGUGCUAAGUGUUAGGGGGUUUCCGCCCCUUAGUGCUGCAGCUAACGCAUUAAGCACUCCGCCCGGGGAGUACGGCCGCAAAGGCUG